rnacentral:tRNA from 1 species
GGUCUUAUAUUCAUAUUUGGUAUGAUAAUAGAAUGCAAUUCUAUAGGAGUAGAUUAUUAAUUACUAAGGCUU